GAGCUGCAAUAAUCUUGACUGCUUACUAGAAGACGUUUUGCCUACCACUCUUUGUGAGCUACAUAUUUCUGAUUGCCACUUGUUGAAAGAACGGUAUGGAAAUGAGAAAGGGGAGGGCCAGGUCAAGAUUGCCCACAUCCCCAGAAUAUGCAUACGUUGAUUGAGCUAUGAGUCGAAGAACGCUUCUGCCCAGUGUUACUUUUACCUGUAAAUAACAAGUGUCUUACACACCCGCUGUCAAUUUCAUGCCACUGCUAGCUGCUAAUCCUUCUACAUUGUGUAUGAAUUCCUAAAUGUCAAUUCUCCAAAAAAAAAAAAAAAAAAAAAAAAAAAAAAAAAAAAAGAGACCUCCAAAAUAUCUGAUUAGUCUUCAAGUCACUGUAAAAGCUCAUCCUCUACUCUCAUUCUUGCCGGUGAUGCUCUUGCCUCAUUAUACAUUCACUACAUUUCUACUCUAGACUUCUGAAAUACAAGACAAAGACUUCUAUGGGAAUGUUUAAGCUAAGGGCUGCUCUUGCCUCACUAUACUUUCACUGCGUUUCGACUGUUCCAUUUUGAAGUGCAAGACGAAUACUUUUGAGGUAAACUAUGUUGAUAGCUAGUGCUACUUCUUUACCUUUUUAACAGCCGCUGAAUCACACUGAUCAAGUGUGGAGAGGGACUUACUCAGGCUUUCUCUUUGGAAUUGGUGGUAGAUGGGAAUAUGUGACAUCCCCUCCAGAGGAUAGGUUGCUGCAUUUGGUUCUUUUUUUCUUCCUAACCUGAAAGAACUCAAAAGGUUCAGCCAGAAUAUGACUGCUCUUGCUGUCCUCACCUGUUGGGGCUACCAUUACUAUCGAGAAUUUUAAAUGCCAUAUUGUGUGACAAUGGUGCCAAGGCAGAGGGGGGAAAGCUGGCCCAAAGAUUGCUGAGAUUCUUGUUCCAUGAUAGAUCAAGUCCAAAGAUGCCCUGUGAUUGUUAGGUUUGUUCAACUGAAUUGUGUUUGUUGUUAUAAACUUUGAACCUAUCAUCAAAAAUGCUUUUUAAGUCUUUGUCAACUCUGCAAAGUUUUAAGCCUCUAACAAAUGCAUAAGGGACAAUUGCUUCAAAUCAUCCCAUUGAUGAAUAUAAUGAUUAUAAACCUACCAAAUGCAUCUCUUGCGAUCAAUAUUUUCGAAGAGCUAAAUUUACAUUCAGUGAGCCGUAAUUAUGUAUGUCCUGCCAGCAUGUUUUGUUUUC